CCUAGCACUUGCGUGCUAGGCUGAGUUAUGUCGUCCCCUUGGGACU
rnacentral:sRNA from 18 species